GGUUGUAAAGUUCUUUUCGGGAGGAGGAAUAAUGUUUGCAGGAAAUGGCAAGCAGAUGACGUGAAUCCCGGAAUAAGCCCCGGCUAACUACGUGCCAGCAGCCGCGGUAACACGUAGGGGGCAAGCGUUGUUCGGAAUCAUUGGGCGUAAAGGGCGUGCAGGCGGUGUUGCAAGUCUGGCGUGAAAGAUCUCGGCUUAACCGGAGAAAUGCAUACAAAACCGAAAGGCUUGAGGAUAUCAGAGGAAAAGGGAAUUACCAUUGUAGGGGUGAAAUCCGUAGAGAGUGGUAAGAAUGCCGGUGGCGAAGGCGCUUUUCCGGGGUAUACCUGACGCUGAGGCUCGAAAGCUAGGGGAGCGAACCGGAUUAGAUACCCGGGUAGUCCUAGCCGUAAACGAUGUUCACUAGGUGUAGGAUGUCGACAGGCAAACUGUGCUGAAGCAAACGCGAUAAGUGAACCGCCUGGGGAGUACGUCCGCAAGGAUGAAACUCAAAGGAAUUGACGGGGGCCCGCACAAGCGGUGGAGCGUGUGGUUUAAUUCGAAGCUAAGCGAAGAACCUCACCAAGUCUUGACAUAUAUCUAGUACCGAACCGAAAGGUAAGGGACCCGUGCUUGCAUGGGAGGAUAUACAGGUGGUGCAUGGUCGUCGUCAGCUCGUGCCGUGAGGUGUUGGGUUAAGUCCCGCAACGAGCGCAACCCU
rnacentral:rRNA from 1 species